rnacentral:rRNA from 1 species
CUACGGGCUGCAGCAGUGAGGAAUAUUGCACAAUGGGGGGAACCCUGAUGCAGCAACGCCGCGUGGAGGAUGACGCAUUUCGGUGUGUAAACUCCUUUUAUAUGUCGAGAAAAUGACGGUAGCAUAUGAAUAAGCACCGGCUAACUCCAGUGCCAGCAGCCGCGGUAAUACGGAGGGUGCAAGCGUUACUCGGAAUCACUGGGCGUAAAGGACGCGUAGGCGGGUUGGAAAGUCAGGUGUGAAAUCCUACAGCUUAACUGUAGAACUGCACUUGAAACUUCUAAUCUAGAGUAUGGGAGGGGAAGAUGGAAUUAGUGGUGUAGGGGUAAAAUCCGUAGAUAUCACUAGGAAUACCUAAAGCGAAGGCGAUCUCCUGGAACAUUACUGACGCUAAGGCGUGAAAGCGUGGGGAGCAAACAGGAUUAGAUACCCCCGUAGUC